GUCGGUGGAAAGCUGGUUAAACCAUUUGGUUUUCAACCACAUCGACCCGGGUUCGAUUCCCGCAUUGGACA
rnacentral:tRNA from 1 species